ACACACACACACACACACACACACACACACACACACACACACACACACACACACACACACACACACACACACACACACACACACACACACACACACACACACACACACACACACACACACACACACACACACACACACACACACACACACACACACACACACACACACACUUCAAAAGAAGUAAGUACCAAAAUUGAAUUAAAAAUGUUUUUAAAACAAAGAAAAUUAUAAAGCUCAUUUUUUCUUCAAAAAAGUGUUUAUGGGGACCAUUGUGUUUAUGGGCAGAAAAUGGAGUUUUUGGAACUGGCUGCAGGCUGAAAAGAAAAUUAUAAAGCUCAUUUUUUCUUGAAAAGUGUUUAUGGGGACCAUUGUGUUUAUGGGCAGAAAAUGGAGUUUUUGGAACUGGCUGCAGGCUGAUGACAACUUUGGAUUGUGUUCAUCCUUCUCUGGGAUCCACUGUUCAUUACUGCUUGUGUUUGUUUAACUGAUCCCACAGGACUUGCUCUGUAAAACUUAUCCUUUGGCUAGUUGAUGUAAUUGUCCAUUCAUCUGCCAUUGGUCUUCCCUGAGACUUGCACCAAUUCCCUCAUCAGGAUUUGAAGAGAUUCCCCCUCCCCCAUCCCCAGCAAUGAUUUGUUUUUUAGCUUUUCACUGAAUUUUUUGUUUUGGAUGGGUCUGUCUUUUGCCAUGUGUGAGUGCAGAUUGGGAAGGUACUGCCUUCUUCCCCAGCCGCCUCUUCCAUGCUGUCUUCUUGGGAACACACAACCUGUUUUAUUUUCAUUCAUUUGCUUUUCUUAUCCAGGUUUGUUUUCUUAGAGAGCUUCCAGCCUCACCAAGACUCUUCUCAUUUCUCAUUACACAGACACAGUGGUGAUUCCCAAAGGAGGAUUUCAGGGUGUUGAGAUGCCAUGGAGAGCCAGGGUAAGCUGCACAGGAGAGGUGCAUGCCCCUUUCUGUUGAGAUUUCCAGGCUGUCUCUUGCCAGGAACACCGCAGAGGAGUGACAAAGAUGACCUUUGUAGUCAAAAACCAAAAAGGCAGAACUGUGAUGGCCAGCAGCUGGCAUGGAGGCCUCACAGUGGUAAGUAACCCUGACCAUAACUCGACCAGCCUACACCAUUAGAGAAAAAGAAGCAAACAUCUCUAUGCAGAAGGCGCUGAGAUGUUGAGAUGUAAACAACGGAGGCCAGCCAGUCCCAGGUGAGCAUGUACACAGGCAGCUAUUGCCAGGGAGCUGGGUGGUAACAAAAUUGUAGCCAAUUGGGACCGAACAUGAGGUUUUUGAAAACUCUGUAAAAGAAAGCUGUAAACAAUAAAAUUUGCUGUUGCCGCAUGAACAGGGUACUGUCAUGUCCUGUCCCUCUCAACUGCGACAAAAGGGAAACUAUUAACCAAUCAUUAUAAGUUGCCUGUACUCGGAAAGUUACUAACUU
rnacentral:lncRNA from 1 species